UGUAGCGCAGUCCGGUAGCGCACCUGCUUUGGGAGCAGGGGGUCCCAGGUUCGAAUCCUGGUA
rnacentral:tRNA from 1 species